rnacentral:rRNA from 1 species
UUGGCUCAGGACGAACGCUGGCGGCAGGCCUAACACAUGCAAGUCGAGCGGCAGCGGGAAAGUAGCUUGCUACUUUUGCCGGCGAGCGGCGGACGGGUGAGUAAUGCCUGGGAAAUUGCCCAGUGGAGGGGGAUAACAGUUGGAAACGACUGCUAAUACCGCAUACGCCCUACGGGGGAAAGCAGGGGACCUUCGGGCCUUGCGCGAUUGGAUAUGCCCAGGUGGGAUUAGCUAGUUGGUGAGGUAAUGGCUCACCAAGGCGACGAUCCCUAGCUGGUCUGAGAGGAUGAUCAGCCACACUGGAACUGAGACACGGUCCAGACUCCUACGGGAGGGAGCAGUAGGG